rnacentral:lncRNA from 1 species
CACGGAAGGAAGUAGAAGUCGCAGCCCGUGGAAGAGGGAAGGAACUCCUCUUCCUCAGAGCUGGCCGAGUGGUCUGGGGCAUCCGGGCACUGUUACCAGGACAAAGGCAUCGAUCUCGGCUGAGAGAACGCUGAGAUGUAUUGACAGAGAGGUUUGCAUCGAUCCAGCAGGAAGUAAGGUCGGUGGCCUCCUGGGCAGGUGCGCAAACCAACCCCUCGCCUAAGGCAGGGUCAGGAUCCACUCCUCCUGGCCUCAGUCAGUGGCCUGGCCCCCACUGUCCACGCUUGAGGUUAUUCCAGCCAGCAAGGCAGGGAGGCCAGUGAACCAGUGAAAAAGCCCUGGUCUUGGGGGCCCAGGAGCCCAGGUCACGGG